rnacentral:rRNA from 1 species
UACGUAGGGGGCUAGCGUUGUCCGGAAUCAUUGGGCGUAAAGCGCGUGUAGGCGGCUCGGUAAGUCCGCUCUGAAAGUCGGGGGCUCAACCCUCGGAUGCGGGUGGAUACUGUCGAGCUUGAGUGCGGAAGAGGCGAGUGGAAUUCCUGGUGUAGCGGUGAAAUGCGUAGAUAUCAGGAGGAACACCCGUGGCGAAGGCGGCUCUCUAUCUCGAUUCUGACGCUGAGGCGCGAAAGCUAGGGGAGCAAACGGG